AGCGAACGCUGGCGGCAUGCCUUACACAUGCAAGUCGAACGGUAACAGGUCUUCGGAUGCUGACGAGUGGCGAACGGGUGAGUAAUACAUCGGAACGUGCCUAGUAGUGGGGGAUAACUACUCGAAAGAGUGGCUAAUACCGCAUGAGAUCUACGGAUGAAAGCAGGGGAUCGCAAGACCUUGUGCUACUAGAGCGGCCGAUGGCAGAGUAGGUAGUUGGUGGGAUAAAAGCUUACCAAGCCGACGAUCUGUAGCUGGUCUGAGAGGACGAUCAGCCACACUGGGACUGAGACACGGCCCAGACUCCUACGGGAGGCAGCAGUGGGGAAUUUUGGACAAUGGGCGCAAGCCUGAUCCAGCAAUGCCGCGUGCAGGAUGAAGGCCUUCGGGUUGUAAACUGCUUUUGUACGGAACGAAAAGCCCUGGGUUAAUACCCUGGGGUCAUGACGGUACCGUAAGAAUAAGCACCGGCUAACUACGUGCCAGCCGCCGCGGUAAUAC
rnacentral:rRNA from 1 species